rnacentral:rRNA from 1 species
AUGGCGCUAGCUAUAAUGGAGUCAAUCUUGAGAUACCACCCUUUACACUUUUGAUAUCUAACUAUGUUUCAUUAUCUGGAACUAGGACAUUGUAUGGUGGGUAGUUUGACUGGGGCGGUCGCCUCCUAAAAAGUAACGGAGGUGUGCGAAGGUAAGCUAGAGCUGGUCGGAAAUCAGCUUGAUAGUAUAAUGGCAUAAGCUUGCCUGACUGCGAGGCUGACAAGCCAAGCAGAGACGAAAGUCGGUCAUAGUGAUCCGGUGAUUCUGUAUGGAAGGGUCAUCGCUCAACGGAUAAAAGGUACGCCGGGGAUAACAGGCUGAUGGUGUUCGAGCGUUCAUAGCGACAACACCGUUUGGCACCUCGAUGUCGACUCAUCACAUCCUGGGGCUGAAGAAGGUCCCAAGGGUUCGGCUGUUCGCCGAUUAAAGUGAUACGUGAGUUGGGUUUAGAACGUCGUGAGACAGUUCGGUUUCUAUCUGCCGUGGGUGAAGGAAAUUUGAGAAGGUCUGACUCUAGUACGAGAGGACCGAGAUGGAUAUACCUCUGGUGUACCAGCUGUUAUGCCAAUAGCAUCGCUGGGUGGCUAUGUAUAGAUGGGAUAAUUGCUGAAAGCAUAUAAGCAAGAAACCCUCUUCAAAAAGAUUUCCCAAUUAAGGCCGUGGAAGACUACCACGUUGAUAGGCUAGGUGUGGAAGCAUGGUAACAUGUGAAGCUAACUAGUACUAAUAGCCUGAUUGAUUUAUUUGCUUUC